AUCAAAUAUCUGCCACGUGGAGUUUUUAAGGAUGCGAAACAGAUUAGGUCUAUGAGCUUUUAUCUUAACAAAAUCACUGAAGUAACUAAUGAACAAUUCAAAGAUGUCGCGCCAAACAUUCGAUUCUUGUACUUUCAUUACAACGAGAUGCGGGAACUACCAGAAGGCUUUUUCUCUAACAUGAAGGAGUUAAUGACAGCG